rnacentral:tRNA from 1 species
UACCUCUGAGCUAAGUGGGC